UUCUCUAAUCAAUAAUUCUAAAUCUAAUUCUAAAAUUAUAAUAUUCUAAAAUCUAAAUCCCUAAUCAUAACCUAAUUUCUCUAAUUAUCAAAAUCCAUAUCAACAUGAAAAUAAAAUAAAGUUCAACCAAGAAAUAAUCAAGGGAGAGGAAGAAGGGUGUGAAGCAUGGCCAUGGGUGUAGCACAGUGUUCCUUUUGGGCCUUAGGCCCAAGCAGCGACAACAUUACAAAAAGAACUGAGUGUUCUAUCCUUUAACCCUACCUCAGCAAUGGCGGAAGAAAAUUUUUCCUCACGUUUCACCAGAAUGUCUGCGCGUUGCACCGACUUCAGGAUACACAAACACGGUGCAAAGGCUUCUCUUCACGAAAUCGCGAUGCCACAUCUUCUUCUUCAUACGCGAAAUCGGAGAUGAACCACAACGAGCAUGACGAACUCUCCAAUCGUGAUUCAAACACUAGGCGUGCGGGGUCAAAAUGAAUAUAGAAAGAAAAUGAUGAAAACUCACCAAAUAGAAACAUUUAAUGAUUGGAAUACAUUUGUGUCCCUGGAGGAUGGAAUUUGGCUUAGGCAAUGCUACAUAUGGUACACACAUGAUGGCCACUUCUUUAAAAUAUGAUUGAUGAAGACAAUGAUGCAAACCUUUGAAUAUGAUGAAGUCCUUUGAAGAAGCUCACUUUUUAAUACAAUCCCCAUUCUUGUAGUGAAUCCUUAUUAUAAUGGAUAGUGUUUUGAUUACAAGAUUUUACCAGCUUCUGUAACAAUUUUUUAUUUGUAUUCUAACUUUUACUUCAUGUAAGAAUGAACAUUCUUGACCUUUUGGAUGAACA